rnacentral:rRNA from 1 species
GAUGAACGCUGGCGGCGUGCCUAAUACAUGCAAGUCGAGCGAACGGACGAGGAGCUUGCUUCUCUGACGUUAGCGGCGGACGUGUGAGUAACACGUGUAUAACCUACCUAUAAGACUGGGAUCACUUCGGGAAACCGGAGCUAAUACCGGAUAAUAUUUUGAACCGCAUGGUUCAAUAGUGAAAGACGGUCUUGCUGUCACUUAUAGAUGGUUCCGCGCUGCAUUAGCUAGUUGGUAAGGUAACGGCUUACCAAGGCAACGAUGCAUAGCCGACCUGAGAGGGUGAUCGGCCACACUGGAACUGAGACACGGUCCAGACUCCUAAGGGAGGCAGCAGUAGGGAAUCUUACGCAAUGGGCGAAAGCCUGACGGAGCAACGCCGCGUGAGUGAUGAAGGUCUUCGGAUCGUAAAACUCUGUUAUUAGGGAAGAACAGAUGUGUAAGUAACUGUGCACAUCUUGACGGUACCUAAUCAGAAAGCCACGGCUAACUACGUG